rnacentral:rRNA from 1 species
UACGUAGGGGGCAAGCGUUAUCCGGAUUUACUGGGUGUAAAGGGAGCGUAGACGGCUUGGCAAGCCAGAUGUGAAAGGCUGGGGCUCAGCCCCAGGACUGCAUUUGGAACUGUCAUGCUAGAGUGUCGGAGAGGCAGGCGGAAUUCCUAGUGUAGCGGUGAAAUGCGUAGAUAUUAGGAGGAACACCAGUGGCGAAGGCGGCCUGCUGGACGAUGACUGACGUUGAGGCUCGAAAGCGUGGGGAGCAAACAGG